rnacentral:rRNA from 2 species
UACAUGCAAGUCGAACGAACUCUGGUAUUGAUUGGUGCUUGCAUCAUGAUUUACAUUUGAGUGAGUGGCGAACUGGUGAGUAACACGUGGGAAACCUGCCCAGAAGCGGGGGAUAACACCUGGAAACAGAUGCUAAUACCGCAUAACAACUUGGACCGCAUGGUCCGAGUUUGAAAGAUGGCUUCGGCUAUCACUUUUGGAUGGUCCCGCGGCGUAUUAGCUAGAUGGUGAGGUAACGGCUCACCAUGGCAAUGAUACGUAGCCGACCUGAGAGGGUAAUCGGCCACAUUGGGACUGAGACACGGCCCAAACUCCUACGGGAGGCAGCAGUAGGGAAUCUUCCACAAUGGACGAAAGUCUGAUGGAGCAACGCCGCGUGAGUGAAGAAGGGUUUCGGCUCGUAAAACUCUGUUGUUAAAGAAGAACAUAUCUGAGAGUAACUGUUCAGGUAUUGACGGUAUUUAACCAGAAAGCCACGGCUAACUACGUGCCAGCAGCCGCGGUAAUACGUAGGUGGCAAGCGUUGUCCGGAUUUAUUGGGCGUAAAGCGAGCGCAGGCGGUUUUUUAAGUCUGAUGUGAAAGCCUUCGGCUCAACCGAAGAAGUGCAUCGGAAACUGGGAAACUUGAGUGCAGAAGAGGACAGUGGAACUCCAUGUGUAGCGGUGAAAUGCGUAGAUAUAUGGAAGAACACCAGUGGCGAAGGCGGCUGUCUGGUCUGUAACUGACGCUGAGGCUCGAAAGUAUGGGUAGCAAACAGGAUUAGAUACCCUGGUAGUCCAUACCGUAAACGAUGAAUGCUAAGUGUUGGAGGGUUUCCGCCCUUCAGUGCUGCAGCUAACGCAUUAAGCAUUCCGCCUGGGGAGUACGGCCGCAAGGCUGAAACUCAAAGGAAUUGACGGGGGCCCGCACAAGCGGUGGAGCAUGUGGUUUAAUUCGAAGCUACGCGAAGAACCUUACCAGGUCUUGACAUACUAUGCAAAUCUAAGAGAUUAGACGUUCCCUUCGGGGACAUGGAUACAGGUGGUGCAUGGUUGUCGUCAGCUCGUGUCGUGAGAUGUUGGGUUAAGUCCCGCAACGAGCGCAACCCUUAUUAUCAGUUGCCAGCAUUAAGUUGGGCACUCUGGUGAGACUGCCGGUGACAAACCGGAGGAAGGUGGGGAUGACGUCAAAUCAUCAUGCCCCUUAUGACCUGGGCUACACACGUGCUACAAUGGAUGGUACAACGAGUUGCGAACUCGCGAGAGUAAGCUAAUCUCUUAAAGCCAUUCUCAGUUCGGAUUGUAGGCUGCAACUCGCCUACAUGAAGUCGGAAUCGCUAGUAAUCGCGGAUCAGCAUGCCGCGGUGAAUACGUUCCCGGGCCUUGUACACACCGCCCGUCACACCAUGAGAGUUUGUAACACCCAAAGUCGGUGGGGUAACCUUUUAGGAACCAGCCGCCUAAGGUGGGACAGAUGAUUAGGG